rnacentral:rRNA from 1 species
CCUACGGGAGGCAGCAGUGAGGAAUAUUGGUCAAUGGACGAGAGUCUGAACCAGCCAAGUAGCGUGAAGGAUGACUGCCCUAUGGGUUGUAAACUUCUUUUAUAUGGGAAUAAAAUGUUCCACGUGUGGGAUUUUGUAUGUACCAUAUGAAUAAGGAUCGGCUAACUCCGUGCCAGCAGCCGCGGUAAUACGGAGGAUCCGAGCGUUAUCCGGAUUUAUUGGGUUUAAAGGGAGCGUAGGUGGAUUGUUAAGCCAGUUGUGAAAGUUUGCGGCUCAAACGUAAAAUUGCAGUUGAAACUGGCAGUCUUGAGUACAGUAGAGGUGAGCGGAAUUCGUGGUGUAGCGGUGAAAUGCUUAGAUAUCACGAAGAACUCCGAUUGCGAAGGCAGUUCACUGGACUGCAACUGACACUGAGGCUCGAAAGUGUGGGUAUCAAACAGGAUUAGAUACCCGUGUAGUC